rnacentral:rRNA from 1 species
GAUGAACGCUAGCUACAGGCUUAACACAUGCAAGUCGCGGGGCAGCAUGGGGGUUGCUUGCAAUCCCCGAUGGCGACCGGCGCACGGGUGAGUAACGCGUAUCCAACCUGCCCUUCACCACGGGAUAACCCGGCGAAAGUCGGACUAAUACCGUAUGUUGUCCAUUGACGGCAUCCGAUUUGGACGAAAGGUUUGGCGGGGAAGGAUGGGGAUGCGUCCGAUUAGCUGGACGGCGGGGUGACGGCCCACCGUGGCGACGAUCGGUAGGGGUUCUGAGAGGAAGGUCCCCCACACUGGAACUGAGACACGGUCCAGACUCCUACGGGAGGCAGCAGUGAGGAAUAUUGGUCAAUGGGCGUAAGCCUGAACCAGCCAAGUAGCGUGCAGGAUGACGGCCCUAUGGGUUGUAAACUGCUUUUAUGCGGGGAUAAAGUGGCCCACGUGUGGGUUUUUGCAGGUACCGCAUGAAUAAGGACCGGCUAAUUCCGUG